CUUCCUGGGUCUUGGGCCUGCCAAUAUUCAGACUGGGACUACAUACACCAUCAGCUCUCCUGUGGUCUCCAGCUUGGUGACUGAAGAUCUUGGAACUUGUCAAGCUCCAUAAUCAUUUUAACAGGCUCUUUCCUCAAAUCCCCAAAUUCAAAUAUGACUCAUCUCUCCGCUGAACCACCCACUACAAUGUCAACAGCUCCACAACUUGCAAGUCCUUCCAAAGUGUUUUAAAGAAUGAUUUAUUAAAGGAAAAUAUACAUCAACAAGUAGAUAUACUCCACCACAGCAGCAUAAGACCAUUCAUUAAUUCCGCAAGCAUUUUUUUAAGCACCUACCAACGCACCAAAUUGGAGAAAGGAAGAUGAAAUAAACACAAACCAUUUCCUUAAAGAGGGAAGAUAUAUACAAUCUAAGAGGGAAAGAAAGUACCGGAUGUUUAUUGAGCGUCUAUACUUUCUCAGGCCUUAUUCCAAGAUGGGAGCCAUUUGCAGGAAUCAUAAGAUGUGGGUUAACAUUUUGGAGAUUGUGGGAUCCAUGGAAUUCGCAGUACUGGGAAAAUGUGCUUCUGGCUUUUGAACCCAUCAUCCUAUUUCCUUUGUUGCUUUUAUGCUACUGGAGACAGCAGGGAAUUCAGGACUAAAAGGCAGAUCUUGGGAGAGUCUGCAACUUAUUUUGAAUAACUUUGGCUCCGCUGGAGAAGGAGGAUAUGACCAAUGGAACCCUGGAUGGGAAACAUGCACAAACCCAUGUAAUAGCCUAAGGGAUAAGCUCACCCAGCUCCACUUGGAAACCUUUAUAAUGAUCAAUGGCAGAUCAGUUGCAAGAUGUGAAGAAUCCUCAAGAAGAAAAAUGUGUGAGCUAAGUGUUCCCAAGAUCUUUAGCCUUCUGAAGUUAAAACUCUGGCCUUUCAAAUGCGAACUCAACAACUGAGCCCCGUCUGCACAAAUGCACUAAAUGAUGCAGUCGGUCUAAUACCUUGUCUCUUAUUUCCCCGGG